AUGACUCACCAUGAGAAUGCUAGCACGCUGUUUCAAAUCAGAAACAUGAAGAGCACGGUUCUAGUACGCUGCUAUGUUUCUAGGAAUUGCUUAUUCCUUCAGCUGCUUCUUUCUGCUGACUGGGCACUGAUUGGACCCAUCAGUUCCAGAAGUAGUCUGGCCCCACACCUAUUAUUCCUUGCUGGCCUUGCUCCUGCAGUCGCAAUGAAUGCUGACGCUUGCAGCAGGAGCAGCUUAUGCAGCAAGUGUGAAAGCACCAAGAGUUAGAAGUCCUGUAGCAUGUAUGAGAAGUUGGGAACUCAUCUUUCUGAGGAGGAAGCCUUGCCUCUAAGGAGCUGCUGUCACUGUCAGGUACAGAAGUCGUUUACACUGCUGCUGUUUUCCUCUAAGGCUUCUGCAAGAGCCCGAUUUUUUCUCCUAAACUGUAUAUUGCUGCUAGAAAUCCAUGUUAUGGGGUUUGGAGAAAAUGGGGGAACCAGGAAUUCCUGAGUGAUUUAUGCUUGGUCAAGCACAGUACACACAUGACCUUGAUUUUGUGAUCUUAGCAAGACACAGGAACUACAUCAGUGCAAAGUAGACAUCUGAAGGUUUACUGAACCCGGAUCGUCUCUGCUGAACAAGAUAAACUCUGUUCACUGCCCUCCCUACGAAUGCCUGUACCACAAAAGAUUUGUAGAAAGCUGCAAGAAACUCCCCAGUGAACUUUCAUAACACCUUCUACCCCAAGGAUGUUUCUUUCUGGCCAUGAGAACUGAUUUAUGUCCCAAACAUGAUGGCUGAAGUCCUUCUCUAUGGCUAAUUUUAAAAAGAAUUCUACCUCUAACACUGACCAUGUCAAAAUGAAGAUCCCUUUGACAUUAAGACUACAUGAGAUCACUACCAGAGCUCAACAUGAAUUUUAGUGCCCUUCAACACUGAAAUUUCUCUGGUCUUCACUAUAUUGGGCAAUACUGUUAUUGUAUGGAAAUAUAAUAUACAUAAUAUUACUUCUAGAAAUGAAUGAAUGAAAAUAAUAUAACAUAUAUAACUAUUAAAUGUCUAUACCCAUCUGUAAAUACAGUAAAGUAGUAUGGCAACCCGUUUAGAUUGUAGCCACCAGGUGGUAGUAUAAGAUUAAGUCAUGUAAAAAUAAUUGGUAGUUUUGUAUUCGUUCUGCGACAAGCUUCAAACACGUAUCUGCUCUCUAAGAAUUCUGUAAAACAUUUUCAUGCUUAUUUAUCACAUCAGCAAUGGACACUCGGAAUAAAAAUCCUUCUCACAAGAUUCCA
rnacentral:lncRNA from 1 species